AUUGAACGCUGGCGGCAGGCCUAACACAUGCAAGUCGAGCGGAUGAAGGGAGCUUGCUCCUGGAUUCAGCGGCGGACGGGUGAGUAAUGCCUAGGAAUCUGCCUGGUAGUGGGGGAUAACGUCCGGAAACGGGCGCUAAUACCGCAUACGUCCUGAGGGAGAAAGUGGGGGUUCUUCGGACCUCACGCUAUCAGAUGAGCCUAGGUCGGAUUAGCUAGUUGGUGGGGUAAAGGCCUACCAAGGCGACGAUCCGUAACUGGUCUGAGAGGAUGAUCAGUCACACUGGAACUGAGACACGGUCCAGACUCCUACGGGAGGCAGCAGUGGGGAAUAUUGGACAAUGGGCGAAAGCCUGAUGCAGCCAUGCCGCGUGUGUGAAGAAGGUCUUCGGAUUGUAAAGCACUUUAAGUUGGGAGGAAGGGCAGUAAGUUAAUACCUUGCUGUUUUGACGUUACCAACAGAAUAAGCACCGGCUAACUUCGUG
rnacentral:rRNA from 1 species